rnacentral:rRNA from 1 species
GACGAACGCUGGCGGCGUGCCUAAUACAUGCAAGUUGAGCGCUGAAGGUUGGUACUUGUACCAACUGGAUGAGCAGCGAACGGGUGAGUAACGCGUGGGGAAUCUGCCUUUGAGCGGGGGACAACAUUUGGAAACGAAUGCUAAUACCGCAUAAAAACUUUAAACACAAGUUUUAAGUUUGAAAGAUGCAAUUGCAUCACUCAAAGAUGAUCCCGCGUUGUAUUAGCUAGUUGGUGAGGUAAAGGCUCACCAAGGCGAUGAUACAUAGCCGACCUGAGAGGGUGAUCGGCCACAUUGGGACUGAGACACGGCCCAAACUCCUACGGGAGGCAGCAGUAGGGAAUCUUCGGCAAGGGACGAAAGUCUGACCGAGCAACGCCGCGUGAGGGAAGAAGGGUGUCGGAUCGUAAAACUCUGUUGGUAGAGAAGAACGUUGGUGAGAGUGGAAAGCUCAUCAAGUGACGGUAACUACCCAGAAAGGGACGGCUAACUACGUG